GACGAACGCUGGCGGCGUGCUUAACACAUGCAAGUCGAGCGGAAAGGCCCUUUCGGGGGUACUCGAGCGGCGAACGGGUGAGUAACACGGGAGUAAUCUGCCCCUGGCUUUGGGAUAGCCACCGGAAACGGUGAUUAAUACCGGAUACGACCACUUCUCGCAUGGGAUGGUGGUGGAAAGUUUUUCGGCCAGGGAUGUGCUCGCGGCCUAUCAGCUUGAUGGUGAGGUAAUGGCUCACCAUGGCUUCGACGGGUAGCCGGCCUGAGAGGGUGGCCGGUCACACUGGGACUGAGACACGGCCCAGACUCCUACGGGAGGCAGCAGUGGGGAAUAUUGGACAAUGGGCGGAAGCCUGAUCCAGCAACGCCGCGUGAGGGAUGACGGCCUUCGGGUUGUAAACCUCUUUCAGCAGGGACGAAGCGCAAGUGGCGGUACCUGCAGAAGAAGCACCGGCCAACUACGUGCCAGCAGCCGCCGUAA
rnacentral:rRNA from 1 species